CAGGGUGGACAUUUAGCUGCUAUUAAUCUCGAGUCUAGAGCCGCCUUGCUUGCAGCUAAACAGGGAUUUAGUGGUGCUGCCGCAAGAUAUCUGGGUUUUAGAAGCAUGACGACUUUGCUUGGCCCAAUGCUUUGGGGCACAUUUCUGGCAGAUGUUGUCAUUCAAAUGCUUGGGACUGAUUAUGCUAGAAUUUUGCGAGCAAUUUAUGCUUUUGCACAGAUCCGCGUCACCCGCACGUAUAGAUUACCAUCUGAUGCUGACUGAAGAAUUUGAUGUUUUGGAAGGUUGCAUUUUAAAUACUUGAGAUGGUAGAUUGAGAGCUUCUGUUGGUAAUUUUGCUGCUUUGACAUGAAGGUAUAUAUAUACUAGUUUGGCUGCAUGACAACCUAGCUUUGUGGAUAUUGUCCAUAACUUUUGUUUUGUUUUUUUUGACUCUCUAUAAUGAAUAUGGAUUUACUGACACUUGGUAAAUUGGAUUAUCUUUCUAGUAUUGUGGUGCGAAUUAACUCUGAAUUUUGUAAAGUGAAGAUUCAUCUUCUACCUUAUCACCUACUCUAUCUAUCUCAAGUCUCAACAUAAACUUCCAGCUA